rnacentral:rRNA from 1 species
AAAGAAAGUAAGCAAGGGCGCAUGGCGGAUGCCUUGGCUCUCGGAGGCGAUGAAGGACGUGAUAAGCUGCGAUAAGCUUCGGGCAGGUGCAAAUAACCUUUGAUCCGAAGAUUUCCGAAUGGGACAACCCGUCAUUCUGAAGGAAUGACAUCUUGCAUAGCAAGAGGCUAACACAGGGAACUGAAACAUCUUAGUACCUGUAGGAAAAGAAAAUAAUAAUGAUUCCCCUAGUAGUGGCGAGCGAACGGGGAUUAGCCCAAACCAAUGUUGUUACGGCAAUAUUGGGGUUGUAGGACCACGAUAUCGCAAGAAGUUUAGUGAGAAGAACCCUUUGGAAAAUGGGACCAUAGACGGUGAUAGUCCGGUAUUCGAAGCUAAAUGAAGCGUAGUGGUAUCCUGAGUAGCGCGGGACACGAGGAAUCUUGCGUGAAUCUGCCGGGACCAUCCGGUAAGGCUAAAUACUCCCGAGAGACCGAUAGCGAACCAGUACUGUGAAGGAAAGGUGAAAAGCACUUCGAAUAGAAGAGUGAAAUAGUCCCUGAAACCGUGCGCCUACAAGCGGUCGGAGC